GGGCGUUAAGUUGCAGGGUAUAGACCCGAAACCCGGUGAUCUAGCCAUGGGCAGGUUGAAGGUUGGGUAACACUAACUGGAGGACCGAACCGACUAAUGUUGAAAAAUUAGCGGAUGACCUGUGGCUGGGGGUGAAAGGCCAAUCAAACCGGGAGAUAGCUGGUUCUCCCCGAAAGCUAUUUAGGUAGCGCCUCGUGAAUUCAUCUCCGGGGGUAGAGCACUGUUUCGGCUAGGGGGCCAUCCCGGCUUACCAACCCGAUGCAAACUGCGAAUACCGGAGAAUGUUAUCACGGGAGACACACGGCGGGUGCUAACGUCCGUCGUGAAGAGGGAAACAACCCAGACCGCCAGCUAAGGUCCCAAAGUCAUGGUUAAGUGGGAAACGAUGUGGGAAGGCCCAGACAGCCAGGAUGUUGGCUUAGAAGCAGCCAUCAUUUAAAGAAAGCGUAAUAGCUCACUGGUCGAGUCGGCCUGCGCGGAAGAUGUAACGGGGCUAAACCAUGCACCGAAGCUGCGGCAGCGACACUGUGUGUUGUUGGGUAGGGGAGCGUUCUGUAAGCCUGCGAAGGUGGCCUGUGAGGGUUGCUGGAGGUAUCAGAAGUGCGAAUGCUGACAUAAGUAACGAUAAAGCGGGUGAAAAGCCCGCUCGCCGGAAGACCAAGGGUUCCUGUCCAACGUUAAUCGGGGCAGGGUGAGUCGACCCCUAAGGCGAGGCCGAAAGGCGUAGUCGAUGGGAAACGGGUUAAUAUUCCCGUACUUGGUGUUACUGCGAAGGGGGGACGGAGAAGGCUAUGUUGGCCGGGCGACGGUUGUCCCGGUUUAAGCGUGUAGGUGUGUGUUCCAGGUAAAUCCGGUUCACUUUAACACUGAGGCGUGACGACGAGGCACUACGGUGCUGAAGCAACAAAUGCCCUGCUUCCAGGAAAAGCCUCUAAGCAUCAGGUAACAUCAAAUCGUACCCCAAACCGACACAGGUGGUCAGGUAGAGAAUACCAAGGCGCUUGAGAGAACUCGGGUGAAGGAACUAGGCAAAAUGGUGCCGUAACUUCGGGAGAAGGCACGCUGACA
rnacentral:rRNA from 1 species